rnacentral:rRNA from 1 species
GUAGGGAAUAUUGGACAAUGGGGGGAACCCUGAUCCAGCCAUGCCGCGUGUGUGAAGAAGGCCUUUUGGUUGUAAAGCACUUUAAGCGAGGAGGAGGCUACCGAGAUUAAUACUCUUGGAUAGUGGACGUUACUCGCAGAAUAAGCACCGGCUAACUCUGUGCCAGCAGCCGCGGUAAUACAGAGGGUGCAAGCGUUAAUCGGAUUUACUGGGCGUAAAGCGCGCGUAGGUGGCCAAUUAAGUCAAAUGUGAAAUCCCCGAGCUUAACUUGGGAAUUGCAUUCGAUACUGGUUGGCUAGAGUAUGGGAGAGGAUGGUAGAAUUCCAGGUGUAGCGGUGAAAUGCGUAGAGAUCUGGAGGAAUACCGAUGGCGAAGGCAGCCAUCUGGCCUAAUACUGACACUGAGGUGCGAAAGCAUGGGGAGCAAACAGGAUUAGAUACCCUAGUAGUCC